rnacentral:lncRNA from 1 species
GCAGUACCACGCGCACUCAAACACGCGGGGCUGACGUCAGCAUCUGACGUGGACUAUUGGGAAGUCAACGAGGCGUUCAGCGUCGUUGACCUGGUCAACAGGCAGUUGCUGGGGCUACCGGCCGAGCGGUGCGUGUGUCCCUUGGAUGGUUCUGAGUUUUACAUUACGGUUUUAGGGCGGUUUUAACUUUGGUUUUGGGGUUUUAGGUACAUUUUAAAGUUACACUGCAAUCGGCAAGGCCAACAUCCCGAAAUAAAGCCCAGUAUUAAAACCUGAUUUAAUUAAUAUUUUGAAUAAAGUAAAACCCAUAGCGCCUUUUAAACCCAAAUUUUCUUCCACUCGGCCUUUCAGAGUCAACGUCUUCGGCGGGAGUGUGGCUCUAGGGCAUCCUAUCGGCGCGAGCGGUGCGCGCAUCCUAGUGACUUUGCUCAACGUGCUGCGCUCCAAGGGGGGUAGGAGGGGCUGCGCCGCCAUUUGCAACGGCGGCGGCGGCGCAUCUAGCAUCGUCGUGGAGGCGAUGCCGCCGCCACUCGACAAACAGCAGCAGCAGCAGCAACUGCCGACGGCGGCGGCGGCGAUGACGCGGCAACAAUCGCAAUUGUAGCUGUAGCUCAGUAUCACCGUCGUAUUAGUAUUAGGAGAAACACAUUAAUCACGAUUAGUAUUGUGAGGUUUUACGAUGCGAGACGAGUUUAAAAUGUUGGCAUGCGAAGUCGAAGGGUUACUGGGUAGUCGAUGUAGUCGAAUGUUGUAGUAGAGUAGCAAUAAUGGCACUUGCAGCUGAGAUAGAGUAGCCGGUCUUCAACUUAAAUGAGCUUAAGGCAGUUGGGAAUUAUUGGGAAUUACUGGGAAUGCAAGGUGGUGAAGACAAGGAGCGAACCGUUGCAGGUGGUGGGCAGGACGUAAGAGAAACGGAAGCAGGAACAGGAACAGGAACACCUGUGCACUGAAUUGUACAUUAUUUAAUGGUUUAUAGGUUUAUAGGUUUUAAGGUUUUACUGUUAUGGCGACCCAGACCCAGUGCGAAGAACAGUGAAACACAGACGGGACAUGUGGGGCUGUAGCAGCUCGGAGCAACAACUGGUGCCUCGCAGGGAGUAGCAGUAGCAGCUUGACGCAAUUGCAUCUUGUGGCGUAUGUGUGUAUGUAUGUAUGUACGUAUGUGUGCAUCUGCAUGUAUAUCUGUGUGCAUAUGUGCACACUCCCAGGAUUUGAUGAGGAUUUUGAGGAAAAGAGUGCAACGGCGGCAGGGGAAGUGGGGGGUUUGCAUAUGGACUCCGACAGCCAGAUGGCUCCGACAGCCAGUUCCGCUCAUUUCAUUUCUUACGUUGUUGCUGAUGAUGUCUGUAUCGGUUACCCUCCACGAUCUUAAGAUGAUACAUUACGAGAUGCCAAAUUCGUCAAACCUGAGCUGACGUUUGUUAGGGUUAUAUCUAGCUUGGCCGACGCUUGGCUGAUGGGCACACAUGCGUAGCCGGGUCUGUCCUCCAGUUUACAAAAAAAUGUUUUAGCAUCUCCGGCAGAAAUGCUAAGCAUCCGAGCACACCGCACGAAAUUGGUUGUUGCAGCAAAGCCCGCGGAAAGGUGUUUCCUCCGGUGUGUGAUAGUAUUGGUACAAGUCCCUUUUUCCUCAGCUUGAUGUUCACAUGCACCGAUGCACUCGACACACAGUGAUUGCAGCCCUGCACACCAGCAGCAGCAACGACAACAACAAUAACAUCAACAUCAACAACAGAGACCUAGACUGGAUAAAGAUAAAUGCAACUCUAGCAGGCAAACGCGCACGUCUUUGCACACGUACGGGCAAGAAGCCCAUAAACACGGUGGUACGGCAAGUACGGCAAAUUCUAUGCUUUUCACCAGCUCGCAACGGGGAUGCCACCGGCCCUCCAGCGCGAGGAGUCGAGGACCCGAAGCGACCUCGUCCCGACAUCCGAAUUAUGAUGUUAUACGACCGUACGUCACAACUUCAAGAUACGGAUGAAUGUACGGCAGCUAGCAAUCAUUCAGCUAAUAAUAAAAACCAUUCAACCCCAACCGAACGCCCGCCGGCGGGCAGCGGUGUCAAAACUACAGAAACGUACCUAAACAAUGCGGUGAACAUGGCAAGAACGCUUCCUGGUCACUGCGAAAAUGCAGCAGCAGCCUUAUGCCGUACAGGGCCGUACAAUCUCAUCAGCAGCCGACCACAUCAGCUUCCGAAGUCGUACCCAAAAAGUACCUCUCGUAAUGCCGAAGCGAUAACGAAAGGCUCGUGCAGACCUUGGAUGCCCACGAUCUGCCGUACACUCCCCUGGCCCCGCCAUGCUCCACCACAUCCUUUCACAAAUGACACCACACUUCGCGCAUCUGCAUCAGCGCAAAUAGGGGGGUCCUUGUGAAGCAGCUGCCCGCGUUUCCAAAGCACGUAUGGUGUUGGAUUGUAAGGUGCCCAAGUACGUUUGCGAGGAAGAGAAUGUGGCCAGGCUGGAGAGGAAAGUGCAGUGGCAUAUUGGAAUGUGAGAUUAGCGUAAGCGAGUUACAGGGCGUUUUAUUGCACGGGCGAAUUUUCGUGCAAAUCUUNNNNNNNNNNNNNNNNNNNNNNNNNNNNNNNNNNNNNNNNNNNNNNNNNNNNNNNNNNNNNNNNNNNNNNNNNNNNNNNNNNNNNNNNNNNNNNNNNNNNNNNNNNNNNNNNNNNNNNNNNNNNNNNNNNNNNNNNNNNNNNNNNNNNNNNNNNNNNNNNNNNNNNNNNNNNNNNNNNNNNNNNNNNNNNNNNNNNNNNNNNNNNNNNNNNNNNNNNNNNNNNNNNNNNNNNNNNNNNNNNNNNNNNNNNNNNNNNNNNNNNNNNNNNNNNNNNNNNNNNNNNNNAGUUAUGUUGUUAUACUUUGCGCAACUUUGUAAUUUGACUUUACUCUGAACAAGGUGCUGCAUACAACUGCCUCUUCGCCAGCGCUUCAUCUUCCGCGGCAGUUUCACGAGCCCAGAGUUGCAAGCUACGACGUUGGCUUUCGGUGCUUUUAGGUACUGCAAAGCAUCCACGCAAUAGUCCAGCCUGCAUGCCGCGUGCGGCUAUGGCCAACAUGCCCACCUGCGCAACGCGCUGGCGCACCUGGUCCUUUUCCGCCAAGAAAAUUUAUAUACACUUGUACAGGCGCAUUUUGCGAAUCGCACGCGCGCAUCUGCGCGGCAAAAUUCGCUCCUGACUCUUUUGGGACGAUGUACGAACUGUUUAUUCGCGAAGUACGACCGGACACAUUUGUGCGAGGGGCUGCUUAACAAUCUCCACCUGAGCAACCUCAAAACGCUGGGGCUGCAAAAGAUCAUUUUCAAAAAUAAAUGGAGGAGAUUUUGGAGGAAGACCCAACCGUUGGAACCCGAUGGGCUUUUUAAAAUCCAAAUCCGAUCCAAUUAUAGGAUUAACUACCUCCAGCCUUUCACUCUCGGGGUAGCCGUAUAUUAAGAAAUCGCUGGCUUUUACAUAACCACACGGCAUCUCAUCACGUUGUUUAUCAUCAAACAGCAGGAAAAGGAAGAGAAGCGAGGAAAGGCGGCAUCUUUUUUUCCGUACUGUCUUCAUUAACGAUCCAGUUUGAAAGUCAAGCAGCUCUGAAGCGGAAGGAAAUCAUCGCCAAGGGCGCGUUCGCACAGAGGCUUGAUGUGGUUUCAGCUCCAUCCGGAGGCCCUGUGGCGCAGUGUUGCUGCGCUCCAGAGAGACCGAACGAGAAGAGACCGAACGACAACGACAACGAGAAAGACAGGGAGACAGAGAGGGAGAGAGAGGGGGGGGGGAAAGGAAUCUCCAAAACCCUAAAACCCAAAUCAAAAAUCACGUGUGUGAUUCACAGAUAGCCCCGACUGUUAGUACCGAACGGACCCUCAUUCCCAGGGAGGAAACGCAAACGCAACAACAACACACACACACAUGCACCGCGCAUACCCCACGUGCCUAGUCCGGUACGACAAAACCGUGUACCUAGCCAGCCCCCGAAAACCCCCAACCGCAGAUUGCUCCUGGACUAGGAGCGUGUCACAGCAAACACAGAGCUCUUUCCCGUCCUCCCCAGAACCCACGACAAUUAAACCAACGGUCCCGGACAAUCCCGUACGGCUCCGUACAAUCCCCUCUGUUAUCCUGACGAGUUCAUCAGGCGCUCACAACAAGAGGAAGAGAGGAGGAGGCGGAAACGGGAAGGAAGAUGCGAUUGUGACUUAAUGACUUAACGACAUCAGCUGACUGAUUGACAUGCAGAAAUGCACAUCGCCGCCAGUACAUAACGGCCGCGGGUCCCCUUGGGGGGGAGGGGAGGGGAGGGGAGGGGAAAGCCCCGGGGGGAAGGGGGAAAACGUAAUAAAACACAAUAUAAGACACGGUAUCCAAAAGAUGUGCUCACUCUUCGUUCAUUUGGGCCGGUGUCCCCCCCCUUUCCCCGUUCUAAUAACUGCCAUCUAAAGAUCCGAUUGGUCGCCUAACGGGCGUUGGCUUUGAUGCUCGACACCACGGUCGCCAUUACCCACGCACGAACCAUGCCGACUGCGACGUGUUUUCUACCCCCCCCCGUCCCGACACGGACCCACGGCGGUCGGCCGGGUGACAGCCGCACGCGCGCACGUCGCCACAUCAUCCACAUGGCCGUGUACGACGUACACGCUGCAGAUGCUCUUUCCAUUCCUUUAGCAUCACCACCACCACCAUCAUCAUCAUGACCACCAGCACCACCACCAAUACCAUCAUCAUCAUCAUCAACAACAUCGUCUCCGUCAUCCAUCGCUAUUACUAUCAUCCGCAAUGCAUUUAUCGUAUUUCACCGUCAUCACUGUCGUACACAUCACCGAAUGCAAACCGAAGCCGAAAGCAAAUAAUGCUUCGCAAUUGUAUACCCGUGCCGCGGCCUGGCGGAGGCGGCGGACGUGCGAAUGUGUCGCCAAACGUGGCUGGCGCCGGGGCUGCAGCCGGCAGUAGCGGUAGCAGUAGCGGCGCGGAGGGACCAGCGUCACGCAGCGCGACGAUCGGUAUUCCUGGCGGCGUCGGCGCGAGCGGCAGCAGUGGUAGCGGCGGCGGUGGAACUCCGCCGUCGUUGUACGGCACGGUGGCCGCCGCCGCAGCUGCGGCGGCGGCUUCAGCAGCGGGUCCCGCCGCCACAGCAGGGUCGUACAUCUGGGAGGAUGAAAGUCUUUCGAAGAUGGACCCUGUACGGCUGACGGCGCUCAAGCCGUACUUUCGUCGUGACGGCGGAACGGUCACAGCAGGCAACGCGUCGCCUAUGACCGACGGGGCGGCGGCAUCGGUGAUAGCGAGUUAUGAAGCCGUACAGGUACGAACUUUCUGUCGUACUGUCCUGCAGGGCUCACUUUUCCUCUCGCACCUUUUUGCCAAGCAAUGUGUGCGCACGGCAUUGUGUUUAUAACUCACACGUUUUCCUUUCCCCCGCGGUGAAAAUGGGUCGCGUCGAUGCAUCGAUUCGCCGUACAGCGUCUGGGCUUGCCAUUGCUGGCGGCGGUACGGGGCUUUGCUGACGCAGCGCAAGCGCCAGAGUGAUUUACGACAGCACCGGCGCUAGCAGUACCACGCGCGCUCAGACACGCGGGGCUGACGUCAGCAUCUGACGUGGACUAUUGGGAAGUCAACGAGGCGUUCAGCGUCGUUGACCUGGUCAACCGGCAGUUGCUGGGGCUACCGGCCGAGCGGUGCGUGUGUCCCUUGGAUGGUUCUGAAUUUACGUUACGGUUUUAGGGCGGUUUUAACUUAAGGUUUUGGGGUUUUAGGUACAUUUUAAAGUUACACUGCAAUCGGCAAGGCC